UGGGGAAUAGUGCACAAUGGGCGAAAGCCUGAUGCAGCAACGCCGCGUGAGUGAUGAAGGUCUUCGGAUUGUAAAGCUCUGUCUUUUGGGACGAUAAUGACGGUACCAAAGGAGGAAGCCACGGCUAACUACGUGCCAGCAGCCGCGGUAAUGCGUAGGUGGCGAGCGUUGUCCGGAUUUACUGGGCGUAAAGGGUGCGUAGGCGGAUGUUUAAGUGAGAUGUGAAAUACCCGGGCUUAACUUGGGUGCUGCAUUUCAAACUGGAUAUCUAGAGUGCAGGAGAGGAGAAUGGAAUUCCUAGUGUAGCGGUGAAAUGCGUAGAGAUUAGGAAGAACACCAGUGGCGAAGGCGAUUCUCUGGACUGUAACUGACGCUGAGGCACGAAAGCGUGGGUAGCAAACAGGAUUAGAUACCCUGGUAGUCCACGCCGUAAACGAUGAGUACUAGGUGUAGGAGGUAUCGACCCCUUCUGUGCCGCAGUAAACACAUUAAGUACUCCGCCUGGGAAGUACGAUCGCAAGAUUAAAACUCUAAAGUGAAUUGAC
rnacentral:rRNA from 1 species